rnacentral:rRNA from 2 species
CACGUAGGCACCAAGCGUUGUCCGGAUUUAUUGGGCGUAAAGAGCUCGUAGGCGGUUCAGUAAGUCGGGUGUGAAAACUCUGGGCUCAACCCAGAGACGCCACCCGAUACUGCUGUGACUUGAGUACGGUAGGGGAGUGGGGAAUUCCUGGUGUAGCGGUGAAAUGCGCAGAUAUCAGGAGGAACACCAGUGGCGAAGGCGCCACUCUGGGCCGUAACUGACGCUGAGGAGCGAAAGCGUGGGUAGCAAA